rnacentral:rRNA from 1 species
UGUAAGCGUAUACCAAAGUUGUUGCAGUUAAAACGCUCGUAGUCGGAAUUUGGCAGUUCCGGAUGUGUGCACGUCGUGUGCGCACUUCGCGGGGAUUGCUUUUGUGGUCUUGCGUAGGAUGAGGCACUUUUAUUAGUGAACGUCCUCACGCAACCACUUUUUACUGUGAGAAAAUCAGAGUGCUCAAAGCAGGCAUUUGCCGUGAAUGUAUUAGCAUGGAAUAAUAGAAUAGGACUUGGUUCUAUUUUGUUGGUUUGUUGGGACUGAGUAAUGAUUAAGAGGGACAGUUGGGGGCAUUUGUAUUUCGGUGCUAGAGGUGAAAUUCUUAGAUUACUGAAAGACAAACUGCUGCGAAAGCGUCUGCCAAGGAUGUUUUCAUUGA